CGGGCACCUCUCAUCCCGCACACGGAGCCCGGCGCCGCAGGCCAGAGGCCAUGAGCGGGAAAGCAGCAGGCUCCCGGUGAGAUCACAGAUGCACAAAUACAGACUCAUGGAAUCGAUGGGGUUAAGGGGGACUUCUGGAGAUGAUCCAGUCCAACCCCUCACCAAGGCAGGGUCACCCGGAGCAGGUGACACAGGGACACUUGCAGGGCUGGAAAAUAUGGUCGCUGUGCGUGGACUCUGACUGCCAGGGUGAUGAAGCCAUUCUUCCAUCCCCAAGGACUGCUGGAGAAUUGAAGUCAGGCUCGCAUGGACCACAUUGCUGAUGCUGCUGGAGAAAGAAGAGAGGGCACAGAAAGGCACGAGCCCUGCAGAUGCAGUUUCCUCCCAUGGAUUUUCCAUGUCCUAUAAAAUUUGAAGAUGUCAGGUACCAACAUUUUUUACAGGAUGCCAAAAUUGUUGAGGUGGGUUUGAUGCUGCAAACCAACAAGCUGCUCUUUGAGCUGUUCUGCUGCUUGACAAGCGACACAGGAACAGACGUGUGAACUUCCCAGUUCCUUUUUAAUGGUGUUUUAACAUCAAAGACUAGCUUUACAUGUUUAAACGACUACAAAUUAGUGAAUGUUUGUUUUGCACAUCUGGCCCUGCUCAUUGCAUUCACCAUCAUUAUUAAAAUGGAAAUGGAUGUUAAUCUGCAAUAAAGAAAAACAUGGAUUGCAAA